AGAUCUGCGCCGCCAGCCUCGCUCCCUGCUGGGCUAUGUCCUCACCUCCGAAACUGAUUACAGACGCAGAUUUGGAAAUUCCCACUUCGGCUGUAGGAUCCAGGUAGCCUGGCAUUCAGCUCGGCAUCAUCAGCGGAAGGCGUGGUGGGAUUGUUAGUGCUCCCUGCUGCUGAACUCGCCGGCUGCCCAACUGUUGACCUGCCUACUCGAAUGCGUCGGGACGAUCCAGGCCAUUUGUAACAGGAUGCAAUCUGACCAGAUCAGGUUUAGGCUAGCAUUUGCUUUCAACAUGUUU